rnacentral:rRNA from 1 species
CCUACGGGUGGCAGCAGUGGGGAAUAUUGCACAAUGGCCGAAAGCCUGAUGCAGCAACGUCGCGUGAGCGAUGAAGGUCCUCGGGUCGUUAAGCUCCGUCCUCAAGGAAGCUAAUGCCGGUACUUGAGGCGGAAGCCCCGGCUAACUACGUGCCAGCAGCCGCGGUAAUAUGUCGGCGGCUAGCGUUAUCCGGAAUUUCUGGGCGUAAAGGGUGCGUAGGUGGUUUCUUAAGUCAGAGGUAAAAGGCUACGGCUCAACCGUAGUAAGCCGUUGAAACUGGGGAACUUGAGUGCAGGAGAGGAGAGUGGAAUGCGUAGUGUAGCGGUGAAAUGCGUAGAUAUUAGGCAGAACACCAAUUGCGAAGGCAGCACUCUGGAGUGGAACUGACACUGAGGCACGAAAGCGUGGGGAUCGAACAGGAUUAGAUACCCCUGUAGUC